AUCACACACUCUUACACCGCUACCUAUUACUUGCAGUAGCAGUUAGCAAGAGAUUAAGUUAGCAUGGAUGGCUUGUGAUUUGGGAGGUGCAAAAGGCGUUUUUGGAAACAGGCUUGGAGCGCAAGAGUAGCUGCUGUGUCUCACAUCCUUACUCCGAAGCCGGCCUGGGUUCCCACCCUAUCCCUGAACAUCUCCCUCAGCCCAUCUCAGACCUGCAGGUGGUUAUUGAUUAUACCCGAAGCCCAGACCCCUCGGUUGCAGCUCACCCUGACACACUCUGGGGAGGUCAUUCAGACAGUCCCAAAGGUGGAAGCAAGGAAUACUGGUAGUUUUCCAUGCCGGGAUCCAGCCCCAGACCCGCCCCGCUCUGUGUCUAAUCCAGCUGGGCAGGUCCGUGUAUCUCAGAAAACCAUCUUCCCAGCGGGGAGAGGCCAAGAGCUUCAGAGCCAAGGCUGAGCUGCUGUGAGCAGAACCAAGAGAAUGGCAGAGAAAGUGUGUUCUGCUCCCGGCUUCCCCUGUGCACCCCUCUGCCCCAGCGUGGUUCUGUUGCCUUCUACCUUCCCACAUAGGAGCUUCGUGUCCACUUAUCCCACUUCAUGUCAGCCGGACACAUGUGUCCUGAGGGGAAAAGAUCCAAAGACAUGAUUCUCAAACACUGACUGUCUAUUACCUAUUGUGCUGGCCAGUUUUAUGUUAACUUGACCCAAGCUGUAGUCAUCUGAGGGGAGGGAACCUCAAUGGAGAAAAAUGCCAACCGGAGAUAACCUAGAACCCCUGCACAGAUGUAGCCCAUGGCAGCUCAGUGUCCAAGUGGGUUCCCUAGUAAUGUGAACAGGGACUGUCUCUGACAUGAACUCACUGGCUGGCUCUUUGAUCACCUCCUGAGGGGGGAGCAGCUUUACCAAGCCACAGAGGAAGACAGUGCAGCCAGUCCUGAUGACACCUGAUAGGCUAGGGUCAGAGGGAAGGGGAUGAGGACCUCCCCUAUCAGUGGACUUGGAGAGGGGCACAGGGGAAGAAGAGGAAGGGAGGGCCUUUCAGGGGAGGCCACAAAAAGUGAAGUGAGUUACAUUCUUGGAUCGGCCAGCACUGAGGGAGUAUAGGAUUUGAACUGAGGGACUCGGCAGGACCCUGGCUCUGAACAACUAUGCCAGGAAUUUCCAAGUGCUGACAGAAUAAUGUCCGCCUAAAGUUAUCCACACCCCAGUCUCCAGAACCCAAUACUUUAGAUGUAGAGAGACUGCAGCUGUGAUCAAGCUGAGUCUGGAGAUCAGGGCUCAUCCAAAGUAGACACAGGGGGUUUAUAAAUAGAAGGGAGGAGGCCAGUCAUGUCAGAGGCCUGACAGUGGAAGCAGGCUCCAGAUACAGCUUCUGAAAGGAGGCUGUUAGCCAAGGGAUGUUAGCAGCCCAGAGCUGGAAAACGAGGGAUAGAUUAUGUGAUAGACAUCCCAGAAGGGUCUUCACACUGGCUGGUGUGGCACAUUGAUUUUAGACUGGGAGGAGUUGGCACCCGAUCUCCACAACUGUAACCUCGUUGCUCUAAGCCUCAGCAGUUCCUGGCAGUUUGGUACAGUAGCCACGGGGAAUGAAUAUAUCUAGCACUCUCAGCUGUACAGGCCAAUGCUGAUUUCACCAGCCCUUCUGCUGACUGUCCGCUGUAAAGCUCUUCUCUCAAGAGACACCAGGGUAUAGCCUGAACCACGGAUUGAGAAAGAGGUUUCUGCCUCCAGGCUGUCUGCCUUGAGCUCCUGCUUGAUGAAGUUUCCCUUGAUGAAGGCCUGUAAGCCGAAAGAUGAAACAAACCUUUCCUCUCCUAAUUGGUUUUGAUACUGGGCGUGUGGCAUGGCAUUACUGCAAUUCCAGCACUCGGCAGAUGGAGGCAAGAAGAUCAGAAGUUCAAUGUCACCCUCAACCACUUAGUGAGUUCAAGGCCAGCCUGAGAAGCACAAAAUCGUGUCUCAAGAAAGAAAAGAAGAUCUGGAGGGGACAGGAGCCCCACAAUAGGACCAACAGAGACAACUAAUCCAGACUCAUGGGAGUUUACAGACUGAUACAUCAGCUAAGGAGCAUGCAUGGUUUAGACUUAGGUAGGCCCCCUGCACUUAUGUGGCCAGUGGGCGGCUUGGUCUUCCUGUGGGUUGUUUGUUGAGUCAGGGCACACUGGAGCUGUUUCUAAUAUGGACUCUAUUGCCUGCUUUUGGACCAUUCUAUUUGGCAGAGCUGCCUUGCCUGGCCUCAGUGGAUGAGGACAUGCUCAGUCCUGAUGUGACUUGAUGUGCUGGGAUGUGUAUAGGAAGAGGAGGUGGGAGAGGGAGAAGGGAAGAAGGAAGGAAGGGAAGGAGGAACUGGGAAGACAAGGGAGGAGGGCACCCUUGGGAUGUAAAGGAAAUAAACUUAAAUAAAAUAAAAAAGGUUUUUAAAAAGAAAGGAAAGAAGGAAGGAGUAACAGCACCAGCAUCCCACUCUUUUUGCUUCCUAGCUGUGAUGGUUUGCGUGAGAGCAGCCCCCAUAGGCUGAGAAGGGUUGGGAGGUGGGACCUUGCUGUAGGAGGUGUGCCACUGAGGGCGUGGCUUUGAGGUUUCAAAAGCCCACACCCCCUCUAGUUAGCUCUGUCUCUGCACCUUGGUUGUGGCUCAACACGUGAGCAUCUCAGCUACUGCUCCGGAGCGUUGCCUGCCUGCCUGUUGCCAUGCUCUCCAUCAUAACGGUCGUGGACUCACCCUUUGAAACUGUGACCCCAAAAGAGAUGUUUUUCUCCUACAAGUUUCCUUGGCCUUGGCGUCUCAGCACAGCAAUAGAAAAGUAACCAAGACACUGGCUACGGCUGCGACAUGGCUGCCUGCCUCACAUUCCUGUCACCACACCUCCCGUACCUUAACUUUGAGAGGCUGUGUGUCAAACUGUGGAGAAAACAAUCCUCUCCACCCUCCCUUCCUUAACUUUCUUCAUCAGGCGUUUGUUUUCAUAGCAACAUGAGAGACAGAACACAGGUCAGGCUGGCCUUCAUCUUAUGAUCCUCCUCCCUCGACCUUCCCAGUUAUGUAAUAGGCUACCACUGAGCCAUGUCACUGGCCCUAGAGGCUGAGUCUUCAAGGUUCAGCGUACUCGGAGAGCCCAGUCUGAGGAGCAAGAGAUUAACAUCCUAGGAAGACACCGCCAUACUCUUAAUUUCCAGCUAAGGAGUUUUAAAAGAAGGAAACAAAGGCUGUUGGUCACUCUGGGGCUGUCUGUCCCUCUGGUCAGGUAGUCAGUCUUAUUUCCAGGACUCAUGAUGUCUACGGCACUCUUCUUAUCCCUGCACUUCUCCCUCAUAGUUGUCUCUGGUGUCUGGGCUCAGACACUCUUUGGAAUCUCGAGCCUGGUCGGUGUCUGCCAGGAACAGCCCUGAUGUCCUCCAGGCAUCACCUGGGCUGGACCUCAGAACAACCACGGAUAGUGCCCGCUGGCUGAUUUUCUGAUGACAUGUCCAUGCCAGGGACAUGUUCCUUUGUCCCUGUAUGUAACACAGCAAUGCUCCCACCCACCCCUGUUAACCUGGGAUUAUAGGCUUGUGGCUGUCACUUUAGCCUCUCAAGCUGCCUCAAUGCAUUCCCCACCCUUCCCUACAGCAUAGCCAGGUUGAUUUCCUCUUUAUUUUGUGUGUGUGUGUGUGUGUGUGUGUGUGUGUGUGUGUGUGUGUGCAUGUGACAGCUAGAGGUUCGAGGUGUUUUGAGUAACUGCAUUGGGUUAGAGAUGUCAUCACUCAGUUGAUGGAGAUGCCCAUUGGGUCUUGGAGAUCACUGAUUGGCUAGACUGGCUGGCCAACAAGCCCCUCCCCAGCACAGAGGUUACAGGUGUGCAAAAGUCUGCAGUGCAGACUUGUCAUAUGGGUUCUGGAGAUCUGCAAGCAGUUUAAGCAUGGAGUCACGUCCCCAGUCCCUUGUCUUGAUUUUUGAGACAGAAUUUCAUGUAUUCCACUCCGGUCUUAAGAUCCCUACAUAGCCGUGAUUGCCCUUGAAUGAAUGGGACUCGAACCCGGAGCUCAGUUCCUUCUUAAUCAGUCCCCACCUGACCAAAGGUAUAACGGUGAUUCUCAGCCACACUUUCCCCAGUGUCCUCACUCGAAAGAGACCCAAAGACCAUUGGUCUGGCUUUUCCUUAAAGCCCGCCUCUGAAGGUGACUGAUUGGCUGGUGCUGCCUCAGCGGCUUGUGUUCAGACUGGGUGUACCCCUGGAACUCCAGCCAGCCCGAACAGACUGCUCCCUGGAGGAUGGCAUGGGCCAGGAGGGAAGGAUGAAACCGGAGGCUGAGUCACUGAGCUGGCAAAUCGAGUUACUUCGGCGGUCGCUGGCUGCUGCUGAGCGAGCAAGCAGAGUGAAGUCAUUUUUCAGAAAAUCGAGUUAUCACUCAGAGGCUUGAGGUCUGCCCGGGGCUUCGGCUAGGGGCCUGGCUGCUAGCAGCCUCAGGCCUGGCAGGUAGGGGCUUCUGCCGUUCUUAGCGUCUGGCCAGGAAGGCGUGGCUCCCUCACUCUAGUGGGCAGGACCCCCUGCUAAGCGUGUCCCACUAGCCCUCCGCCGCUGCCAGCUUUGCUCGAGGCUGAACGCUGGCCACCAGCUCCCUCGGAGCCCUGAGAGGCAGCACAGCUUGGGAUAGAGACAGCACAGCUGUAGGUUUCCUCAGGAGUCGCGUGGGGUCCAUGGGCCAUUGAGGUGGCAUCUUUGAGCCACUGGCUCCCUGUUUGGUCAGAAAGGGGAACAUUUUGGGGUUUUCUUUUUGUAACUUAAGUUUGAAGUAUAUUUUAUUAAUUAAGAUUUAAAAUUUUUCUUUCUUUCUUCCUCCUUUUAGGGAUUGAGCCCAUGCCCUCGGUUUUGCUAGGCAAGCUCUGGACCUUUGAACUUCACCCCUGGUCUUCUUUUUGGUGUUUCUAUUUAUUUAUUCAGAGAUAGGGUCUCAUGUAGCCUAGAUUGGCCUUGAGCUCACUUAGUAGCUGAGGAUGACUUUGAACUCCUAAUCCUUCUGCUUCUACCUUCCUAAUGCUGAGAUUACAGGUGCAGUAACACACCUGUUUCUUGCCAUGCUGAGGAUGGAAGCCAGGACUCCAGGUGAGCUAGCUAGACAAGUACUGCGUGCGCGCAUACACACACACACACACACACACACACACACACACACACUGCUCACCAAGUCACCCACCUGCCCUUGAGUUUAUAAUCCUCUUGCCUCAGUCUCUUAAACACCUGGGAUUUAUCCACAGGCCCGCCUGGGACUGAUGUUUUCCUGCUAGAAGAUUAAUGAUUUCUUUCACCUCAUAUUGCCGUUACACUGAUCCUGGGCUUCUAGCAUGGGUGUCGAGAGUUGUAGAUGCAGGUGGCAACUGCUUGCUUGCUACCCAGGUGCAUGGCUCCACAGCCCAGCCACCAAGGGGCUAAGCCCUAGCUUUGUGGGGUUCUGACUGGGCUCAGAGCCUUGGGUAAGCUGUUUAGCCCUUUGGAGCUUCGGCAUCCUUAUCUGUAAGACGGAGUUGGUGACAGUCACGGUCGAGUUCAAGUGCAGACAGCAAUGCUGGUUCUUGGCAGGUUGCUUUAGAAACACAAACUCUUAUUGUGGACCUCAGAGAAAAGCUCCCAGCAUGAAUCCAGAUGCCCUGGGUCAGGAAGAGGCCCAUGCUCAAGGGAACGGGUAGCCAGUCUCAGAACACCUGUGACUUGAAGGCCAAGGUCAGAAUCCUGGACAUCAAACCCAGCUGUCCUUUCUCUAUGGACACGAGAACCACGGUGAGGCUCUGUGGGAUUUACCCAGAGGGCUGCAAAGCCAGACCUGGACUUCCCAUCUCCUCGGAGGCAGAGGAUGGUGAAGGGAACACUGAGAGGCCCUGGCCUCAGGAACGGGUUGGAGGUGACCUGAGCUGAAAGCAGCUUGGCUGGUGUCAUGGUUUCCCCGACCGACCCAGCUGCUGAGAAAAGGAAGCAGUGGCCACACAGGCUGAAUUAGUGACCCUGUGGCUAUGGGGGAGGAGGGAAGUGCUGCCCAGCUCUGUGGAAAUCCCCUGAAGCUGAUGGCUGCAUUCCCACUAUUCUCCUGUGGUUCCUCUGACUUAAACACUUUUGCCAAGUGGGAGGAGGGUCACAGCUUUGGUGGCAAGUGUCUUUACCUCCUAAGCCAUCUCACCAGCCUCUCCUGAUGACUCUCCCCUCCCCCCACCACAAUGGGACCUUCUACUAGAAUGGGAUGGGUGAGGAUGGGCUUCCGGUUUCCUGAUUCACGCAGAAGCCAGAGUCUACAUUCUGCCCUCCUUACUAAAGAUGAGUGCCCUGCCUUCUGUUGGGGGAACAAAAGAUGUUUCUCCACCGAGGGCCAUCCUUUGGGUCUGCUGGGAGAGGCAAGAACUUCAAGGGGCUCAGCUGUGGUGGGCUUUGCAGGACUGCAGCUCUGGGAGGAUCUGCACCUCCAGAGUUGAACGCAGCAGGUAAGGGCCUGGGACUGGUAAGGGGCACGUCCCGCCACCUAGUGGCCCACUCUGGGAUUGAACGCUAUCGUUGACCUCAGGAAGGUCAUCCCAGGGCAGUGGCAAGCCAAGCUCUUGGCUGUGUCCUAGAAUCACCCACUUGGUUCCUAUUGCAGCAGGAACCGGGGCCUGCAGUGAGCAUGUCAGUCUUCACAUAGAGAGCCUACACCCGGCCUCUGAAUUCUGUAUGGAAAUGGAAAUCCUGGAGGUGCGUUGGAGGGGGCACACAGGGUGGCAGCUAAACAUCUGGCUACUCACUGCCUUUGGAGUCACAGGCUAAGAGGGAUGGGCACCUUGAACAGCAAGAAUCAGUCAAUGUUUAUAUGAAAGAAUUCAGAGGUGUCUUUCUUACCUGGAGGGAAGGCAAUCUUCCAGUCAAGACAGUCUACCUCCACGACGUGGACACAGCUCUUCCCAUGCAGCAGACACUGGAGGGUGUUGCAUAUGGGUGUGGGGAGAAGGUGGCAUUGUAGGAGUUGGAGGAAGGGGUGGUGUGUGGGUUUUGUUGGAGGAGUGUGACUAGGGGGUGGGCUUUGAGGUCUCAGAAGCUCAGGACAGUUCACUUCCUGUAGCCUGCAGGUCGGGAGGUAGAACUCCCAGCCCCUUCUCCAGCACCAUGUCUGCCUGCACGCCACCAAUAUUUCCCCCCAUGAUGAUCAUGGACCAAACCCCUGAAACUGUAAGGCAGCCCCAAUUUAAUGUUCUCCUUUGUAAGAAUUGCCAUGGUCGUGAUGUCUCUUCACAGCAAUAGAAACCCUGACUAAGGCAGGUGGGAACCAUUUUCUUCGGGUUCACACUCAGAAGAUGACGGACGGCUAAACCAUGGUGUUCUUCAGUCAAGUGACUUAAGUACAGCCUGAGUUGUGGGGGGACGGUGAUGGGAUAGAUCAUAUACCCUUAUAAUCUAGACGCUGGCGUCCUAACCCUGGUACCUAAGGCUGUGACAGAACUUGGAGAUUAAGGGAAAAUGAGGUUGUUGGUGCGGUGGGGUGUCUAGUGCAAUGUGACUUGCGUGUCUGUAAAUGGUGUCAUUUCAUGAAUAACUAUGGAGAGAUAGCCAUGGAGAAGACAGGGAGGGCUUAGAAAACCUUCUGGUUGGCAGAGAGGCCUCAGGAGAGACAGCCCUGGCCUGUGGGUAUAUCUUGUUUUCCUGUAGGUCCCCCGAAGUUCAGAGAUGGUCACUUCGGCUUAGACUGGCUAGGGUUGGUUUCCAAUCCACAGCUAUGGGGUCUGGCCGUGCUCUCAAGAGGAGUGACACUAGGGAACAUUCCUGCGUCGGUUUCCAGAGGUAGGGGUGGGGGUCUGGGACCCUCUGGGGUUUCUCAGCCCUGAGAAGGAGGUCUAAGAGAGACAGCAAUUCACAGCAGCCUGCAGGCACCCUCCCAUCUGCUUUAAAUCACCCCUAGAUGACUUCCGCCGGGCAGUACUACGUGCUCCGCAAAUAGAACUUGAGAUCACAUCAUUUGAGGAGUGAGGACAAGGCAGCAGCCUGCCUGUUUGUUACAAAUGCGAUUGUCUUUCUGAAUAUUUCUGUCGAGGUUGGUUGGCUUCUCCACAGGUAACCUGAGAUGUGGAAACUGGCUGUUCCCUGGAACCAUGGGAUGUUUGGAUGUGGCCGGAGAGGCAUCUGUCUUGACUGGAAGAUCGCCUUCCCUCCAGAGCCUCAGCUUCCUGACCAGCGUGGUGCAAGGAUGGGUGGCACCCAGCCAGUCAAGGACCAGGGCUGUGACAGUACCAUCUGCUUCUUCAGGCUGUGCCCUUCUGCCAGCGGCCCGUGUCCUUGGCCCGGGCCCUGCAUCCCGAGGCCCAUGUCCUCAGCCUGGGCCCUUCUGCCGGCCGCUCAUAUCCUUGGCCCGGGCCCUGCAUGCCUCGGCCCACUCACUUGGCUGGAUGGAAGACGGUGCUCAUCUCCUCUGCCAGGUGCCUCCUGAGGAUGUGCUUCCCACUGGGGAUGCCCAGCGCGGUGGCCAUGGCCUCCGCAUUGAACGUGGGCUCCAGCACCAUCACGGCGCCGUGGACACCGCUGUUGGUCAGGUUGUCUGCGUACUCCUGAGGGCAGAAGCAUGAGGUUGCGAGGUCUCAGGGACCAUCAUAGCUAAGCAGGGAUGUGACCCAACAGCAAGGGUUUCACCCGUGGGGGCAACUGACUGGAGAGUGGUGGGGAUCUGUACCCCAUCCUCAGAGCUGUGAACGCAGGGGUCUUGUCACUGACACUUGCUGGACCCUGGCAGGAGCCAUAGGUAUUUGUGGAGAAAAUUAAGACUUGCCCCAACAAUGGGAGCUUUCAAUGCAGGGUCCUACUGUAGGAGCGAAGAAUCCUUCUCCAGUGACAUAGAGUUUGCCAGGCCGGGUGAUGGCAUCCCCUCCCCUAUAUCAAAGUGGGCGUUGAUUUGCAUGUCAUUUGCAUAGGCUAGGGAACCACCCCUGAGGCCCCCUCUGCUAUCACCCCUCACCUUCAGGUCAAUGUCUCGCACCCACUUGAGCACCCGCUGGUUGGUCCAGACCACAGGGUCUGUGUUCUGCAUUUCACAGCGGGCUCGGCGCUCCUGGAGGACCUGGGGGAUAGGAAGCAGUUGAGGGGAUGAGGGGCACGUGGAGGUCACAGGCGGAAGGAAGUUCGUGGUGUUAGCGGGACUUCAGGGUGUUGCUGGGAUGAGGGCCCCCACAGCUGCCUGAGCCACACCACCUGGGUCGCGAGAAACAGAAGGAGCCACCUCCUAGGGUGCAUGGAAAUCGGAUGUGGAGGCGGGAGAGGGACCCACACUCCGCCUAUGCUGUGUCCCCUGGUCUGCUGUGUCCCCGGGUCUGCAACAUCUCUGCCCCAGCAAUGGGAGCAGGUGCUCAGUGGGCAUUUGCGGAGGCCCUGCCCGAGGCUCUCGGGGUCUGAGCAUCCUGGUUUAAAAUACGUCCUGUGGAUGGAUCAGCUUGCUGCCCUUUCCCAGGUGUCCCUGGGGGACUGACUCCCAGACCAAGCUCGCCUGCACAGAGAUACCCUCUGUGGUGGUUUGGAGGAGAACGGCCCCCAGGGGCUCAUGUAUUUGAAUGUCUGGUUCCCAUCCGGUGGGACUGUUUAGGAAGGAUUAGUAGUGGGUCCUUGUUGGAGGAGGUGUAUUCUGGGGGUGGGCUUUGAGGUUUCAAGAGGCCAAUGCCAUUCCCAGUCUCCCCACCUCUGCUUGUGGAGCAGAUGAAAGCUCUGAGCUGCUGCUCCAGCCCCACGCCUGCUGCCAUGCUUCCUGCUGUGAUGGAAAGGAGCUGACCCUCUGAAACUGUAAGCCAGCCCCCAACUGAAUGCUUUCUUUUAUAAGUUGCUGUGGUCAUGGUGUCUCUUUACAGCAACAUGACAGUGUCUAAGACACCCCCCUCUCUUUAUUUUUUUUAAGACACCCUCAAAGUGAAGGCUGGAGGAAGGUUACUUGCUUAAGGUCAGAAAACACAGCACAUUUUACUCAGAAGUCUAGUCCUUUUCUAGAGAAGCUGCUAGAAAAGGAACUUAGACAGCUAAUGUGUCUGAAGGAAGGGAGGCAACAGCCCCUCUACCAGCUCUGUGCUCUUGUACCCCCUCAAAGUGGUCUCCAAUCAGGCCCUAAAGCUAAGGUCAUCAUAGUGUUCACAUGAAACGGGGGAAAUUUUUUUUUGCACCUAGAAAUCAUCACAAAUUUAAGAUAAAAGGAACGAAAGCAAAAAGGAAGAAUUUUGGCACCUUAAGGUUUAUAAUAACCAUCUUUUUAGGUAGAAGGCCAGUAUGAAGUAGACAAAUGUGCCUUUUCAAAUGUUUCAGUUGCACUUUAAUGAUGUAUUUUAUGUAGAUUUGUUUUCUCAGUUACACUGUUAGCUGAAUCACCAAAUGUUUUUAAUAAAGAGCUAUACAAGUAUAUGCUAA